rfam:Gorilla gorilla gorilla genomic chromosome, chr15, whole genome shotgun sequence
GCCAGGUGUGGUGGUGCAUGCCUGUUGUCCCAGCUACUGGGGAGGCUGAGAUGGGAGAAUUGCUUGAGCCUGGGAGAUCAAGGCUGCAGUGAGCCAUGAUGGCACCUCUGCACUCCAGCCUGGGCAAUAGAGUAAGACCCUGUCUCAA